rnacentral:rRNA from 1 species
CCUACGGGUGGCAGCAGUGGGGAAUUUUGGACAAUGGGGGCAACCCUGAUCCAGCCAUGCCGCGUGCGGGAAGAAGGCCUUCGGGUUGUAAACCGCUUUUGUCAGGGAAGAAAUCUUCCGAGCUAAUACCUUGGGAGGAUGACGGUACCUGAAGAAUAAGCACCGGCUAACUACGUGCCAGCAGCCGCGGUAAUACGUAGGGGGCAAGCGUUAAGUGGAGUGUCUGGAGGCGAUGGGGCAAGACAGGGGUGAAAUCCCCGGGCUUAACCUGGGAACUGCACUUGUGACUGUACGGCUGGAGUACGGCAGAGGGGGAUGGAAUUCCGCGUGUAGCAGUGAAAUGCGUAGAUAUGCGGAGGAACACCGAUGGCGAAGGCAGUCCCCUGGGCCUGUACUGACGCUCAUGCACGAAAGCGUGGGGAGCAAACAGGAUUAGAUACCCCGGUAGUC